GCGUGCAGGCGAUACGGGCAGACUUGAGUACUACAGGGGAGACUGGAAUUUCUGGUGUAGCGGUGGAAUGCACAGAUAUCAGGAAGAACACCGAUGGCGAAGGCAGGUCUCUGGGCUGUAACUGACGCUGAGGAGCGAAAGCGUGGGGAGCGAACAGGAUUAGAUACCCUGGUAGUCCACGCUGUAAACGGUGGGUACUAGGUGUGUGGUC
rnacentral:rRNA from 1 species